rnacentral:ncRNA from 1 species
UCGUUUCGUGCGGAGCGGAGCCCGCCACGCCGGCAGCGGGCACCAAGCAGAUGCAGAGCAAUGCAAUCUGCGCGACCUCGACGGAGGUCGACGGGACAUAUAACAGUCAAC